GCUGGGCAUGGUGGUGCAUGCCUGUAAUCCCAGCUACUCGGGAGGCUGAGGCAGGAGAAUUGCUUGAACCCAGGAGUUGGAGUUUGCAGUGAGCCAAGAUCGUGCCAUUGCUCUCUAGCCUAGGUGACAGAGUGAGACUCUGCCUCAA
ensembl:misc_RNA Metazoa_SRP Metazoan signal recognition particle RNA